rnacentral:misc_RNA from 1 species
GAUGAAGAACGUAGCGAAAUGCGAUAAGUAAUGUGAAUUGCAGAAUUCAGUGAAUCAUCGAAUCUUUGAACGCACAUUGCGCCCCUUGGUAUUCCGGGGGGCAUGCCUGUCCGAGCGUCAUUGCUGCCUCAAGCACGGCUUGUGUGUUGGGCCUCCGUCCUCCUCCCGGGGGACGGGCCCGAAAGGCAGCGGCGGCACCGCGUCCGGUCCUCGAGCGUAUGGGGCUUCGUCACCCGCUCUUGUAGGCCCGGCCGGCGCUUGCCGACACAUCAAUCUUUUUUCCAGGUUGACCUCGGAUCAGGUAGGGAUACCCGCUGAACUUAAGCAUAUCAAUAAGCGGAGGA